rnacentral:rRNA from 1 species
UGCAAGUCGAGCGGAGUUGAUCGACGGAAGCCUUCGGGCGGAAGAUGAUUAACUUAGCGGCGGAUGGGUGAGUAACGCGUGGGCAACCUGCCUCGAAGACCGGGAUAACAGUUCGAAAGGGCUGCUAAUACCGGAUGUGGUCAAGUGUCAGCAUGGGCAUUUGAUUAAAGGGGAAACCCGUUUCGAGAUGGGCCCGCGUCCUAUCAGCUAGUUGGUGAGGUAAAGGCUCACCAAGGCAAUGACGGGUAGCCGGCCUGAGAGGGUGACCGGCCACACUGGAACUGAGACACGGUCCAGACUCCUACGGGGGGCAGCAGUGGGGAAUCUUCCACAAUGGGCGAAAGCCUGAUGGAGCGACGCCGCGUGAGCGAAGAAGGCCUUCGGGUUGUAAAGCUCUGUCUGGAGGGACGAAGAAAGUGACGGUACCUCCGGAGGAAGCCACGGCUAACUACGUGCCAGCAGCCGCGGUAAUACGUAGGUGGCGAGCGUUGUCCGGAAUCACUGGGCGUAAAGGGCGCGCAGGCGGCGUGUCAAGUCGGACGUGAAAACCCCUGGCUCAACUGGGGG